rnacentral:rRNA from 1 species
AGUUUGAUCCUGGCUCAGGACGAACGCUGGCGGCGUGCCUAAUACAUGCAAGUAGAACGCUGAAAUCUGGUGCUUGCACCGGAUGGAUGAGUUGCGAACGGGUGAGUAACGCGUAGGUAACCUACCUCAUAGCGGGGAAUAACUAUUGGAAACGAUAGCUAAUACCGCAUAACAGUAUUUACCGCAUGGUAGAUGCUUGAAAGGAGCAACUGCUUCACUAUGAGAUGGACCUGCGUUGUAUUAGCUAGUUGGUGGGGUAAAGGCCCACCAAGGCGACGAUACAUAGCCGACCUGAGAGGGUGAUCGGCCACACUGGGACUGAGACACGGCCCAGACUCCUACGGGAGGCAGCAGUAGGGAAUCUUCGGCAAUGGGGGCAACCCUGACCGAGCAACGCCGCGUGAGUGAAGAAGGUUUUCGGAUCGUAAAGCUCUGUUGUAAGAGAAGAACUGUGAGAAGAGUGGAAAGUUUCUCACUUGACGGUAUCUUACCAGAAAGGGACGGCUAACUACGUGCCAGCAGCCGCGGUAAUACGUAGGUCCCGAGCGUUGUCCGGAUUUAUUGGGCGUAAAGCGAGCGCAGGCGGUUUGAUAAGUCUGAAGUAAAAGGCUGUGGCUUAACCAUAGUACGCUUUGGAAACUGUCAAACUUGAGUGCAGAAGGGGAGAGUGGAAUUCCAUGUGUAGCGGUGAAAUGCGUAGA